rnacentral:rRNA from 1 species
UACAGAGGGUGCGAGCGUUGUCCGGAAUCAUUGGGCGUAAAGCGCGUGUAGGCGGUCCGGUAAGUCCGCUGUGAAAGUCGGGGGCUCAACCCUCGAAUGCCGGUGGAUACUGUCGGGCUAGAGUGCGGAAGAGGCGAGUGGAAUUCCUGGUGUAGCGGUGAAAUGCGCAGAUAUCAGGAGGAACACCAAUUGCGAAGGCAGCUCGCUGGGACGUUACUGACGCUGGAGACGCGAAAGCGUGGGGAGCAAACAGG